rnacentral:piRNA from 1 species
UGACAGUCAUGUCUUUCCAGGGGU